GGGGACGUAAUGGUUUCGACAGGGGUGCGUGUAUCAUAGAUAGCGAGUCGGCGUUCCAUUAGGCCGCUAAACGGUGGAACUUUUAAAUUAAACGCAAACGAAAACUUUGCAUUAGCUGCAUAAGCUACGUCUUACCUUGCUCUGCCCGUGAGUAGGGAUAAGGCGUCAAACUACGGGCUCGCCGAAUGUAUAUGCUCAAGUAGAUUCGGUUAAAACUCUGAGCUGGGUUAGUGUAGUUUGUCGGUGUACAAUAGCUAACUAAGAUCUAAAACAGCGACUGCACUCGGAGAAGUCUGUGGGGCAACACUUUUGGACAGGGGUUCGAUUCCCCUCGUCUCCACCA
rnacentral:sRNA from 1 species